UACGAAGGGGGCGAGCGUUGUUCGGAUUUACUGGGCGUAAAGGGCACGUAGGCGGCCCUCCUAGUCGCGUGUGAAAGCCCCGGGCUCAACCUGGGAAUUGCGCGCGAAACGGGGGGGCUUGAGUUCGGGAGAGGAGCGUGGAAUUCCCAGUGUAGAGGUGAAAUUCGUAGAUAUUCGCAAGAACACCAGUGGCGAAGGCGGCUCACUGGCCCGGUACUGACGCUGAGGUGCGAAAGCGUGGGGAGCAAACAGG
rnacentral:rRNA from 1 species